AUUGAAAGGGCGCAUGGCGGAUUCCUAGGCAUCUAGAGGCGAUGAAGGGCGUGACUACCGACGAAACGCUCCAGGGAGCCGGAAAAAGGUUUUGAUCUGGAGAUUCCCGAAUGGGGCAACCCACAUAUUCCUUGCAGAAUUCAUACGCAAGAGAAAGCAAACUCGGGGAACUGAAACAUCUUAGUACCCGAAGGAAGAGAAAGCAAACGCGAUUCCCCUAGUAGCGGCGAGCGAAGCGGGAACAGCCAAAACCUAUGCAUGCUUGCAUAGGGGUUGUGGGAAGGCAAAUAGAGUGAUCUGCAACGUAUUGGGGAAGGAGCUGAAACCUCCACCAUAGAGAGUGAUAGUCUCGUACCCAUUGACUAUUCAGCAUCACAUGCAAUCUCCCAAGUAGCACGGAGCACGUGGAAUUCCGUGUGAAUCAGCGAGGACCACCUCGUAAGGCUAAAUACUCCUAGAUGACCGAUAGUGGACCAGUACUGCGAAGGAACGGUGAAAAAGAACCGCGGAGGCGGAGUGAAAUAGAACAUGAAACCGUGCGCUUACAAGCAGUUGGAGGCCCCUGAGGGCUGACAACGUGCCUGUUGAAGAAUGAGCCAACGAUUUAGAGGGGGUGGCGUGGUUAAGGCCUGACCGGCCGAAGCCAUAGUGAAAGCGGGCCUGAAUAGGGCACCUGUCCCUCCCUCUAGACCCGAACCCAGGUGAUCUACUCUUGAUCAAGAUGAAACUUUGGUGAUACGAAGUGGAGGUCUGAACCGCCCGAUGUUGAAAAAUCGACGGAUGAAUUGAGAGUAGCGGAGAAAUUCCUGUCGAACCUGGAGCUAGCUGGUUCUCCUCGAAAUGUGUUGAGGCACAGCGGUGGAUUAUGUACAGCAUGGGGGUAAAGCACUGUCUUGGUGCGGGCUGCGAGAGCGGUACCAAAUCAUAGCAAACUCAGAAUACCAUGCCCAUCCAAUCCACCAGUGAGACUGCGGGGGAUAAGCUCCGUUGUCGAGAGGGAAACAGCCCAGACCAUCAGGUAAGGUCCCCAAAUGAGCAUUAAGUGAGAAAGGAUGUUCAAGUACUAUGACAGCCAGGAGGUUCGCCUAGAAGCAGCUAUCCUUUAAAGAGUGCGUAACAGCUCACUGGUCGAGUGCUUGAGUGCCGAUAAUGAAUGGGACUAAAUGCUCUACCGAACCUAUGGGAGAUUCACAUGAAUCUCGGUAGAGGAGCGUUCCCCCGGGGAUGAAGCGAGUGCGUGAGCACCUCGUGGACCUUGGGGAAGUGAGAAUGUUGGCUUGAGUAACGAAAACAUUGGUGAGAAUCCAAUGCCCCGAAAACCUAAGGGUUCCACAGCAAGGCUCGUCCACUGUGGGUUAGUCGGCUCCUAAGGUUAGGCCGAAAGGCGUCGCCGAUGGAAAGCAGGUUAAUAUUCCUGCACUUACCUCUCU
rnacentral:rRNA from 1 species